rnacentral:lncRNA from 1 species
UUUAACUUUUUUGCUCCUCCUGAAGUUCCUGAGAAUGGAGAUCUGGAUGACGAUGCUGAGGCAAUACUGGCUGCAGACUUUGAAAUUGGUCACUUUUUACGUGAGCGUAUAAUCCCAAGAUCAGUGUUAUACUUCACUGGAGAAGCUAUUGAGGACGAUGACGAUGACUAUGAUGAAGAAGGUGAAGAAGCUGAUGAGGAAGGGGAAGAAGAAGGAGAUGAGGAAAACGAUCCAGACUAUGACCCAAAGGAUCAAAACCCAGCCGAGUGCAAGCAGCAGUGAGCAGUGACUGGCCUUGAGGACGGCCUCCCUGUAAUAGCCUAAACAUGACUCAUUUACUUACAGCCUUAUGGUUUUGUAUUUUCUUGAUAGAAUCAGUAAGUUUCUAAGGGAAAGGAAAUUGAUAUUUUGCAGACCAAUUUGUUCUAACCAGCAUCCCAACUCUAGCUCUGUCAGCCACGUUACCGCAUCCACCCUUUACUGCAUGCUCAGGUCGCUGCAGUCUGGUUCUCCUGGGAGAUUUUCAUCAUGUAGCUAUUGGAUACAAUUAUGAAAACCAACUGUUGAACAUAUUUGGAGUAGCUGUUUCUUUCCUAGAGAACCAAAGCUGUUUCAGCUGGUAGAACAGGUUGAAGCCCGCCUGCAUUAGCUGUGCUUUCCGUUAUGUUUAGAGGGAUGCACAGGCACGACAUCAUUCCAGGAAGGAAAAUUGUGGUUAAGAAUUUCCAGUAAGAUCAUACUUAAUAGCUGAGAUUUUUAAGGCAUUUUUAUGUUUUCAAUGACAUAACAAAAGUCAACUCAUGCUUAUAGCAAGGUGAACAAACCCUAGGUUCUCUUCAGACGUUAAUUGAUAGUAUUUAAUGUACGUUGAAAGUUAACCUCCAUUAAUGACAUCUUUUCUUUGUGGUAGGGCCUACCUUCUGCUUUCCUGGAAAAGAUGAAUAUACAUCAUUUGAACCUAUUUUGAGUUUUUCUGUUGUUUUGUUUGCCUAAUUUUGUUUUUAUAGCUUAAAAUAAAAAUAUGACACAGUCUUAGCUCUCACGGGAUGCUGUCUCAGUUUGUACUGAUUGAGGCUAUUGCAGAGGGUGAGUUGGAGUUCAGGGUGCCUAGUUGUCUAUUGAACAGUGUUGAGGAGGUAAUAUACACGCUUUAAGAAUGUGAAGUGUGCUUAGUUGUUUGAACAGAAAUUGCGCUUGUUAGAGCUGACUGUUUACUCUGGCCUCAGUGCUAAGGGUGAGGAGUGUCAUGAUGAGCCCUGCUGUUUACUGUGUAUGACUAAGGAUGGAUGGGUAGUACUGUUGGUUCAACUACCUCAGCUCUGUUACAGCAUAUUGGGAUAAAUCUCACAAAUGCUCUCAGUCUUACAAAAUGCUCAAAAAAUUGGCCUCUGUACCACGAGUGUGAUGCUCAGCGACAUAUUCACACCAAACUGAUGAUUAAACUGGAGAAUGAAGUUUAAAACCCUUCUGUAUCUGGGCAUGUGGCUCCUGUUUUAGUGGGAAUGAGUGAAAGUCGUGUAUGCUUUCAAGAGAUUGAAGGGUUUGGGGUUUUUUUGUUUGUUUGUUUGUUUGUUUGUUUGUUUGUUUUUGGAGUUAACUUUUUAUACCCCACUUCAGAUAUUUCAAGCAACCACAUUGUAGCAAAUCCUAAGGUGGUAAUGAGGCAGGGAGGUGGCAUUAGUUUCAGAGCAUGAGAGCCACAUUUAAAAUACCUCAGGCUAUUUACUGUUCACUGUGGGAAAGAAAUGGUCUCUGACAGGGUUUAAUUGAAUUGGACUUGGAGGAAGUUCCUGCUGUUAAUAAAAUUUACAUUGAAGAAACUUUUUUUGGAGGUGAUAGUUCUUUUUGUGAGAUUUUAAUAUUAAGCUCUUAGAAUGUGAAUACAUUCUAUAGCCAAUAUCUUCCUGAAAUUUUUAACUACUGGAAAUCCUUAACCAACUAUAUUUUCUUCAUUUUGAAAAAGAUUUGGUUGCUUUUUCUUAGAUGGUUUGUGCUAUUUUCUGUAAUCAUAGUUCAUCUAAACACAGCCUAUUUUCUUGAACAUUAAAGUUUAUAACUUACAGAUCUCCUUUUCAGUAACCUUACAGACUAGCGCAGUCUUCCCUUCCUUCUGUAGGAGGUAGCUGUUGCCAAAGUGCAGAGGUAGCUGGCUCUUGUCUAAUGGGAAAGUGCUGUGUGGAGCUUCAGGGGUCAGUCUUUCUUGUGACAUCUGUCAGUCCCCAAGUGGUUCUAUUCUCCUCUAGAAGUCUGAAAUAUGUAAUCUGAAAUCCUUAAUAAAAUUGGAUCUAAUUUUAUAAAAUA